rnacentral:rRNA from 1 species
GAUGAACGCUAGCUACAGGCUUAACACAUGCAAGUCGAGGGGAAACGACAUCGAAAGCUUGCUUUUGAUGGGCGUCGACCGGCGCACGGGUGAGUAACGCGUAUCCAUCCUGCCCAUCACUUGGGAAUAACCUUGCGAAAGUAAGACUAAUACCCAAUGAUAUCCCACGAAGGCAUCGGAAUGGGAUUAAAGAUUUAUCGGUGAUGGAUGGGGAUGCGUCUGAUUAGCUUGUUGGCGGGGUAACGGCCCACCAAGGCAACGAUCAGUAGGGGUUCUGAGAGGAAGGUCCCCCACAUUGGAACUGAGACACGGUCCAAACUCCUACGGGAGGCAGCAGUGAGGAAUAUUGGUCAAUGGGCGAGAGCCUGAACCAGCCAAGUAGCGUGCAGGAAGACGGCCCUAUGGGUUGUAAACUGCUUUUAUAAGGGAAUAAAGUGGGUCACGUGUGACUUUUUGCAUGUACCUUAUGAAUAAGGACCGGCUAAUUCCGUG